GACGAACGCUGGCGGCGUGCUUAACACAUGCAAGUCGAACGGAAAGGCCCUGCUUUUGUGGGGUGCUCGAGUGGCGAACGGGUGAGUAACACGUGAGUAACCUGCCCUUGACUUUGGGAUAACUUCAGGAAACUGGGGCUAAUACCGGAUAGGAGCUCCUGCUGCAUGGUGGGGGUUGGAAAGUUUCGGCGGUUGGGGAUGGACUCGCGGCUUAUCAGCUUGUUGGUGGGGUAGUGGCUUACCAAGGCUUUGACGGGUAGCCGGCCUGAGAGGGUGACCGGCCACAGUGGGACUGAGAUACGGCACAGACUCCUACGGGAGGCAGCAGUGCGGAAUAUUGCACAAGGGGCGGAAGCCUGAUGCAGCAACGCCGCGUGCGGGAUGACGGCCUUCGGGUUGUAAACCGCUUUCGCCUGUGACGAAGCGUGAGUGACGGUAAUGGGUAAAGAAGCACCGGCUAACUACGUG
rnacentral:rRNA from 1 species